UACGAAGGGGGCUAGCGUUGCUCGGAAUCACUGGGCGUAAAGCGCACGUAGGCGGAUUGUUAAGUCGGGGGUGAAAUCCUGGAGCUCAACUCCAGAACUGCCUUCGAUACUGGCGAUCUUGAGUCCGGGAGAGGUGAGUGGAACUCCGAGUGUAGAGGUGAAAUUCGUAGAUAUUCGGAAGAACACCAGUGGCGAAGGCGGCUCACUGGCCCGGUACUGACGCUGAGGUGCGAAAGCGUGGGGAGCAAACGGG
rnacentral:rRNA from 1 species